UACAGGCGAAGCAAGCGUUAUUCUUCAUUAUUGGGUGUAAAGGAUAUGUAGGCGGUUUAUUAAAAGUUUAAUGUUAAAUUCUUGGUAUAAGAUACGAAGUACAAUGCAUUUUAGACUGAUAAACUAAAAUAAGGAAGAUGUUGGCGGAAUACUAUGAGGGAGGAGUAGGUUCUGAGGAUCUUAAGUAGAACACCAGUGGCGAAAGCGGCUUUCAAUUCCUAAAUUUAUGCUGAGGUAUGUAAGUGUCGGGGAUCAAACCUG
rnacentral:rRNA from 1 species